rnacentral:rRNA from 1 species
GGUUAAGUUAGAAAGGGCGCACGGCGGAUGCCUUGGCACUAGGAGCCGAUGAAGGACGGUACAAACACCGAUAUGCUCCGGGGAGCUGUACGUAAGCUUUGAUCCGGAGAUUUCCGA